UUUGAUCUCAAAUCAGGUAGGACUACCCGCUGAACUUAAGCAUAUCAAUAAGCGGAGGAAAAGAACUAACAAGGAUUCCCCCUAGUAACUGCGAGUGAAGCGGGAAGAGCUCAAAUUUAAAAUCUGGCGUGCCUCUGGCCGUCCGAGUUGUAGUCUGGAGAAGCGUUUUCCGUGUUGGACCGUGUAUAAGUCUCUUGGAACAGGGCGUCAUAGAGGGUGAGAAUCCCGUCUUUGACACGGACUACCAAUGCUUUGUGAUGCGCUCUCAAAGAGUCGAGUUGUUUGGGAAUGCAGCUCAAAAUGGGUGGUAAAUUCCAUCUAAAGCUAAAUAUAGGCGAGAGACCGAUAGCGAACAAGUACCGUGAGGGAAAGAUGAAAAGCACUUUGGAAAGAGAGUUAAACAGUACGUGAAAUUGCUGAAAGGGAAACGCUUGAAGUCAGUCACGUCUGCCAGGACUCAGCCUUGCUUUUGCUUGGUGUACUUUCUGGUCGGAUGGGCCAACAUCAAUUUUGACCGCUGGAGAAAGGCUUUGGGAAUGUGGCACCUUUGGGUGUGUUAUAGCCCUUGGUUGUAUACAACGGUUGGGAUUGAGGACCGCAGCACGCCUUUACGGCCGGGGUUCGCCCACGUACGUGCUUAGGAUGUUGGCAAAAUGGCU
rnacentral:rRNA from 1 species